rnacentral:rRNA from 1 species
ACUACUUCUAGCCCAAUAAAUCGAUCAACUCAAUUAUGUAAGUCAAUCAAUUAAAUCAUUCACCUUAAAUCAAAGUAUAGGAGAUAGAAAUGAUUACUGGCGCUAUAGAGAAAGUACCGCAAGGGAAAGAUGAAAGAAACUCAGUUAAAGUACAAAAAAGCAAAGAUUAACCCUUGUACCUUUUGCAUAAUGGAUCAACUAGACUCAGUCCAGCAAAAAGAAUUUAAGUCGGACAUCCCGAAACCAAACGAGCUACCUAGGAACAAUUUUAUGAAUGAACCCGUCUAUGUGGCAAAAUAGUGGGAAGAUUUCUAGGUAGAGGUGAAAAGCCUAACGAGCUUGGUGAUAGCUGGUUAUCCAGAGAAGAAUUUUAGUUCUGCUUUAAACUUACCCAAAGGACCCGAUAACCUACCUGUAAGUUUAACUGUUAAUCUAAAGAGGGACAGCUCUUUAGAUAAAGGAUAGAACCUGAACUAGAGAAUAAGACCUGUAAACAUACCAUAGUUGGCCUAAAAGCAGCCAUCAAUAAAGAAAGCGUUAAAGCUCAAAUACCCCUACUAUCCUAAUACCUGAAUUUUCACCCAUUUCCUAGAUUAAAACUGGAUUAAUCUACUAACAAGUAGAUGAAUUAAUGUUGGUAUGAGUAACAAGAAAACUUUUCUCCUCGCACAAGUGUAUAUCAGAUCGGAUACCCACUGAUAGUUAACUCAAAAUGAAAAUAUACCCUAAACCUAAACCUUUUUCUACUAAUAGAGUUAGUCCAACACAGGAGUGCACCUAAGGAAAGAUAAAAAGAAGUAAAAGGAACUCGGCAAACACAAGCCCCGCCUGUUUACCAAAAACAUCACCUCUAGCAUAAAAAGUAUUAGAGGCACUGCCUGCCCGGUGACUCACGUUAAACGGCCGCGGUAUCCUGACCGUGCAAAGGUAGCAUAAUCACUUGUUCCUUAAUUAGGGACUUGCAUGAACGGCAAGACGAGGGCUUAACUGUCUCUUACUUCCUAUCAGUGAAAUUGACCUUCCAGUGAAGAGGCUGGAAUAAAACAAUAAGACGAGAAGACCCUAUGGAGCUUCAACCAAUUGACCUACUAAACUAGUUUACUCCCCUAAAGGGCCUAAUACCUCAGUUUAUCCUAAGUCAAUGGUUUCGGUUGGGGUGACCUCGGAGCACAAAAAACCCUCCGAGUAUAUCAAACUAAGACCUACUAGUCUAAGUUAUCCAAAUUAUUUAUUGACCCAAUUUUUGAUCAACGGACCAAGUUACCCUAGGGAUAACAGCGCUAUCCUAUUCGAGAGUUCAUAUCGACAAUAGGGUUUACGACCUCGAUGUUGGAUCAGGACAUCCCAAUGGUGCAGAAGCUAUUAAAGGUUCGUUUGUUCAACGAUUAAAGUCCUACGUGAUCUGAGUUCAGACCGGAGCAAUCCAGGUCGGUUUCUAUCUAUUAGCAAUUUUUCUUAGUACGAAAGGACCAGAAAAAUAGAGCCUCCUACACUAUUAGCGCUCUCAAAUCUAUAGAUGAAAUAAUCUCAAUCUAGAAAUUAUGCAAACUCACAACCCAAGAACAGGGUU